rnacentral:rRNA from 1 species
UGGGCAACCUGCCCCUAGCUCUGGGAUAACUGCGGGAAACUGUAGCUAUACCGGAUGUGACACGAGACUGCAUGGUCUUCGUGUGGAAAGAUUUAUCGGCUAGGGAUGGGCCCGCGGUCUAUCAGCUUGUUGGUGAGGUAAUGGCUCACCAAGGCGACGACGGGUAGCCGGCCUGAGAGGGUGACCGGCCACACUGGGACUGAGACACGGCCCAGACUCCUACGGGAGCAG